CUCAUGAGCCUGGCCACUCCAAAAUUCCCCGAUCCUAUAUCCUUCACAAGCUCGUACUUGUCCAUUUUUUUUUAUCUUACUUCCCACAGCUAACAAUUAAAAUAAAAACCCUUAAUUAAGCUCCAAUUAAACCCGCUAAUCAAUCCGAAUUCAACUACAAUUCAUAUCUCCAGCCUCAAAAACCGUAGUAAGGCAAGAACUUGACAAUAACAAUUUAAUCAAAAAAAG
rnacentral:misc_RNA from 1 species